rnacentral:rRNA from 1 species
UACAGAGGUCCCAAGCGUUGUUCGGAUUCAUUGGGCGUAAAGGGUGCGUAGGCGGCGCGGUAAGUCGGGUGUGAAAUCUCGGGGCUUAACUCCGAAACUGCAUUCGAUACUGCCGUGCUUUGAGGACUGGAGAGGAGACGUGGAAUUUACGGUGUAGCGGUGAAAUGCGUAGAUAUCGUAAGGAAGACCAGUGGCGAAGGCGGGUCUCUGG